UACGUAGGGGGCUAGCGUUGUCCGGAAUCAUUGGGCGUAAAGCGCGCGUAGGCGGCUCGAUCAGUCGGGUGUGAAAUCCCUGGGCUCAACCUGGGAAUUGCAUUCGAUACUGUCGAGCUAGAGUGUGGGAGAGGGUAGUGGAAUUCCCGGUGUAGCGGUGAAAUGCGUAGAUAUCGGGAGGAACAUCAGUGGCGAAGGCGACUGCCUGGCCCAACACUGACGCUGAGGUGCGAAAGCGUGGGUAGCAAACAGG
rnacentral:rRNA from 1 species